rnacentral:rRNA from 1 species
UACGUAGGGCGCAAGCGUUAUCCGGAAUUAUUGGGCGUAAAGAGCUCGUAGGCGGCUCGUCGCGUCGGCUGUGAAAACCUGGGGCUCAACCCCGGGCCUGCAGCCGAUACGGGCGAGCUAGAAUUCGGUAGGGGAGACUGGAAUUCCUGGUGUAGCGGUGAAAUGCGCAGAUAUCAGGAGGAACACCGGUGGCGAAGGCGGGUCUCUGGGCCGAUAUUGACGCUGAGGAGCGAAAGCGUGGGGAGCGAACAGG